rnacentral:rRNA from 1 species
GUGAAUCAUCGAAUCUUUGAACGCACAUUGCGCCUUGAGGUAUUCCUCAAGGCAUGCCUGUUUGAGCGUCGGCUC